GAAGGAAUCCCCUCUCCCACCUGCUAAGCUGCCUUUAGUGCCUCUCAUUGGCAGAAGCUAACAGGAAGUCAGCUGGCAAGGGAGCUGAAAAAUGUGGCUUGCAGACCCUAGCCCCAGCAUCUCAGAGCAGAUUAUAGAAGGGUGAGCGUAGACCAGAAACCAGAGGUGCCUGGAGGGAUCAGCAAACUGAGAUCAUUGGAGUUCAUACUUAGGGCAUGGUGUUUUCUCGGGAACCUGGGUGACUCAAACCUGGACUAUCAUUCAGCUACCCGGGAGGCUGAGGCAGAACAGCUUGAGCCCAGGAAAUCAAGGCUGCAGUCAGCUAUGAUCACACCACUGUGCUCCAGCAUGGGCGACAGAGCAAGACCCUGUCUCUGACAGAAAAGAAAGGAAAGGAAAGAAAGGAAUAUUUUAAUCAGAGUAUUUGCCAACACUGAUUGUUUUGUCAAUAAAGCAUUCUUGGAACAAGA